UACGUAGGGGGCAAGCGUUGUCCGGAUUUAUUGGGCGUAAAGGGCGUGUAGGCGGCCAGAUAGGUCAGCUGUGAAAACUCGAGGCUCAACCUCGAGAUGUCGGCUGAAACCAUCUGGCUAGAGUCCGGAAGAGGAGAAUGGAAUUCCCGGUGUAGCGGUGAAAUGCGCAGAUAUCGGGAAGAACACCCGUGGCGAAGGCGGUUCGCUGGGACGGUACUGACGCUGAGACGCGAAAGCGUGGGGAGCGAACAGG
rnacentral:rRNA from 1 species